CUUAGCUAGCAUGCAGCAUAAUGCACAAUCGGAAAAAAGUCCGCCUCGGGUUCCUGAGGAGCACAUUUACUCGCGUCUUUCCUCCGCGAGUCUCAGAACAUCAUGGCUGCCCUGACGUCACUCCCGGUUCCAAUAACGCAUCUAACCGCCAGACAUCACACCAACACGCUCUCCUGAAAACCCUCAACAUUCUGUAAAACUCCAAAUCCACGAGGCGCACGGAAUUUUAGACCUUGGAAAUAUUUUCACACCGCACAGGCAUCCAAGCCGUAGAGUACAACAAUUUCCUUCCUACGCCAAUUGCAUAAUUGACAUCACUGCCUCUCACAUGGCAGUGUUUGUGUUUGGGUGUAAAUAGUGCUCUCCAAAGACCUGGGGAUCAAUUCUCCUGCAAAGUCACCCUUUUUCGCGGAUUCCAUCCCAUUCUUGGUAGGGAAUGCUGUAGAAUAUAGCUGCAGUGUUAUUAGUCAAAAUUUGACCUCAACAUGUCAGAAGAACAGAGAAGUGGUGGAGAAAACAGCUCCAGCACAAAACCAGCCAGUCAUACACUUAAACCAAACUACAUACUAAAAUACACACUUUCUGGGCAUUCUAAAGCAGUUUCGUCAGUCAAGUUCAGCCCAACAGGAGAUUGGCUAGCAAGUUCCUGUAAGUGAUUUUUUAAAUCUUUUGAAAUGGCUAAGGUAAAAGUAUAUACAUAAUGUUAUCACAUAGAUUGUUAUACAGUAAUCUCUUUCUCUUAUUUUCUUUCUCUUUUUCUUUCUUUCAGAAUUAGUUAAUUAUUACCUUGCGACCUUAGGUGAUUUGAAUUGGCGGGAAAAACGUAUUUUUUUACUAUUGCUAUGAAUAUCGAUGGUGUUAUUUUUAUUAUAAACAUUACAAUUAUUA